rnacentral:rRNA from 1 species
GGGAACGUACCCUUUGGUUCGGAAUAACGCUGGGAAACUAGCGCUAAUACCGGAUACGCCCUUUUGGGGAAAGGCUUGCUGCCGAAGGAUCGGCCCGCGUCUGAUUAGCUAGUUGGUGGGGUAAUGGCCUACCAAGGCGACGAUCAGUAGCUGGUCUGAGAGGAUGAUCAGCCACACUGGGACUGAGACACGGCCCAGACUCCUACGGGAGGCAGCAGUGGGGAAUAUUGGACAAUGGGCGCAAGCCUGAUCCAGCCAUGCCGCGUGAGUGAUGAAGGCCUUAGGGUUGUAAAGCUCUUUUGUCCGGGACGAUAAUGACGGUACCGGAAGAAUAAGCCCCGGCUAACUUCGUGCCAGCAGCCGCGGUAAUACGAAGGGGGCUAGCGUUGCUCGGAAUCACUGGGCGUAAAGGGCGCGUAGGCGGCCAUUCAAGUCGGGGGUGAAAGCCUGUGGCUCAACCACAGAAUUGCCUUCGAUACGGUUUGGCUUGAGUUUGGUAGAGGUUGGUGGAACUGCGAGU